AGGAUGAACGCUAGCGGCAGGCCUAAUACAUGCAAGUCGGACGGGAUUGGAGAGCUUGCUUUCCAUGAGAGUGGCGCACGGGUGCGUAACACGUAUGUAACCUACCUUCUUCAGGGGGAUAGCCUCUCGAAAGAGAGAUUAAGACCGCAUAACAUUGAGCUGUGGCAUCACAAAUCAAUCAAAUAUUUAUAGGAAGAAGAUGGGCAUGCGGAACAUUAGCUAGUUGGUAAGGUAAUGGCUUACCAAGGCUACGAUGUUUA
rnacentral:rRNA from 1 species